GUCACUCUAUGGUGAUCAGAAAACAAUUAAAAAUCACACGCCUUAAUUUAUUGACGAGCAGGAGAACCAAACUAUUUAGUUUAGAAAAACGUCGCCUGAGAGGGGAUAUGAUAACAUUAUACAAAUAUAUUCGGGUCCAAUACAAACCAUUGUGUGGAAAUCUAUUCACAAACCGGACUUUACAUAGGACACGAGGUCAUGCGUUUAGACUGUAAGAAAGAAGAU